GCUCCAAUAGCGUAUAUUAAUGUUGUUGCGGUUAAAAAGCUCGUAGUUGGAUCUCAACACGUCGCGGGCGGUUCGUUAUUCGACGUUACUGCCCCGUCGAUGUGUGUGUUUUGACGGAAGCUUCGGGGUGAUCUUAAUCGAUUGUCUCGUAGUGCCGUCAGGUUUACUUUGAAAAAAUUAGAGUGCUCAAAGCAGGCUUU
rnacentral:rRNA from 1 species